rnacentral:rRNA from 1 species
UGUGGGAUAUUGCACAAUGGGCGAAAGCCUGAUGCAGCGACGCCGCGUGGGGGAUGAAGGCUUUCGGGUUGUAAACCUCUUUCGCUAUCGAACAAGGCCCGCUUAGGGUGGGUUGAGGGUAGGUGGAGAAGAAGCGCCGGCUAACUACGUGCCAGCAGCCGCGGUAAUACGUAGGGCGCGAGCGUUGUCCGGAAUUAUUGGGCGUAAAGGGCUUGUAUGCGGCUUGUUGCGCCUGCUGUGAAAACGCGGGGCUUAACUUCGCGCGUGCAGUGGGUACGGGCAGGCUUGAGUGUGGUAGGGGUGACUGGAAUUCCAGGUGUAGCGGUGGAAUGCGCAGAUAUCUGGAGGAACACCGAUGGCGAAGGCAGGUCACUGGGCCAUUACUGACGCUGAGGAGCGAAAGCAUGGGUAGCGAACAGG